UGCGUAGGUGGCAGGGUAAGUUUGAUGUGAAAUCUCCGGGCUUAACCCGGAAACUGCAUUGAAUACUAUCCUGCUCGAGGGUUGGAGGGGGGACUGGAAUACUUGGUGUAGCAGUGAAAUGCGUAGAUAUCAAGUGGAACACCAGUGGCGAAGGCGAGUCCCUGGACAACUCCUGACACUGAGGCACGAAAGCUAGGGGAGCAAACA
rnacentral:rRNA from 1 species